GCACGGAUGGCCGAGUGGUCUAAGGCGCCAGACUCAAGCGAUAAGCUUGGCACGAGUUCAGUGCCUCCUGGGUGUUCUGGUACCCGUAUGGGUGCGUGGGUUCGAACCCCACUCCGUGCA
rfam:Pristionchus pacificus strain PS312 contig13714, whole genome shotgun sequence.